GACGAACGCUGGCGGCGUGCUUAACACAUGCAAGUCGAACGGUGAAGCGCCUUCCUUUUUGGUGGGUGUGGAUGAGUGGCGAACGGGUGAGUAACACGUGAGUAACCUGCCCCCUUCUUCUGGAUAACCGCAUGAAAGUGUGGCUAAUACGGGAUAUUCUGGGUCUGUCGCAUGAUGGGUCUGGGAAAGAUAUUGUUUCGGUGGGGGAUGGGCUCGCGGCCUAUCAGCUUGUUGGUGGGGUGAUGGCCUACCAAGGCGGUGACGGGUAGCCGGCCUGGGAGGGUGGACGGUCACACUGGGACUGAGACACGGCCCAGACUCCUACGGGAGGCAGCAGUGGGGAAUAGUGCACAAUGGGCGCAAGCCUGAUGCAGCGACGCCGCGUGAGGGAUGGAGGCCUGCGGGUUGUGAACCUCUUUCGCCAGUGAAGCAGGCCUGCCUCGUUUGUGGGUGGGUUGACGGUAGCUGGAUAAGAAGCGCCGGCUAACUACGUG
rnacentral:rRNA from 1 species